rnacentral:rRNA from 1 species
GAUGAACGCUGGCGGCGUGCUUAACACAUGCAAGUCGAACGGAAAGGCUCCUGCUUGCAGGGGUACUCGAGUGGCGAACGGGUGAGUAACACGUGGGUGAUCUGCCCUGCACUUCGGGAUAAGCCUGGGAAACUGGGUCUAAUACCGGAUAGGACGAUGGUUUGGAUGCCAUUGUGGAAAGUUUUUCGGUGUGGGAUGAGCUCGCGGCCUAUCAGCUUGUUGGUGGGGUAAUGGCCUACCAAGGCGUCGACGGGUAGCCGGCCUGAGAGGGUGUACGGCCACAUUGGGACUGAGAUACGGCCCAGACUCCUACGGGAGGCAGCAGUGGGGAAUAUUGCACAAUGGGCGCAAGCCUGAUGCAGCGACGCCGCGUGGGGGAUGACGGCCUUCGGGUUGUAAACUCCUUUCGCUUGGGACGAAGCGUAAGUGACGGUACCUGGAGAAGAAGCACCGGCUAACUACGUGCCAGCAGCCGCGGUAAUACGUAGGGUGCGAGCGUUGUCCGGAAUUACUAGGCGUAAAGAGCUCGUAGGUGGUUUGUCGCGUCGUUUGUGUAAGCCCGCAGCUUAACUGCGGGACUGCAGGCGAUACGGGCAUAACUUGAGUGCUGUAGGGGAGACUGGAAUUCCUGGUGUAGCGGUGGAAUGCGCAGAUAUCAGGAGGAACACCGAUGGCGAAGGCAGGUCUCUGGGCAGUAACUGACGCUGAGGAGCGAAAGCAUGGGUAGCGAACAGGAUUAGAUACCCUGGUAGUCCAUGCCGUAAACGGUGGGCGCUAGGUGUGAGUCCCUUCCACGGGGUUCGUGCCGUAGCUAACGCAUUAAGCGCCCCGCCUGGGGAGUACGGCCGCAAGGCUAAAACUCAAAGGAAUUGACGGGGGCCCGCACAAGCGGCGGAGCAUGUGGAUUAAUUCGAUGCAACGCGAAGAACCUUACCUGGGCUUGACAUACACCAGAUCGCCGUAGAGAUACGGUUUCCCUUUGUGGUUGGUGUACAGGUGGUGCAUGGUUGUCGUCAGCUCGUGUCGUGAGAUGUUGGGUUAAGUCCCGCAACGAGCGCAACCCUUGUCUUAUGUUGCCAGCACGUUAUGGUGGGGACUCGUGAGAGACUGCCGGGGUUAACUCGGAGGAAGGUGGGGAUGACGUCAAAUCAUCAUGCCCCUUAUGUCCAGGGCUUCACACAUGCUACAAUGGUCGGUACAACGCGUCCCGCGAGCCUGUGAGGGUGAGCUAAUCGCUGUAAAGCCGGUCGUAGUUCGGAUUGGGGUCUGCAACUCGACCCCAUGAAGUCGGAGUCGCUAGUAAUCGCAGAUCAGCAACGCUGCGGUGAAUACGUUCCCGGGCCU